AGAGUUUGAUCAUGGCUCAGAGCGAACGCUGGCGGCAUGCUUAACACAUGCAAGUCUCACGGGCAGCAAUGUCAGUGGCGGACGGGUGAGUAACGCGUAGGAAUCUGUCCUUAGGUGGGGGAUAACUGUGGGAAACUACAGCUAAUACCGCAUGAUACCUGUGGGUCAAAGGCGCGAGUCGCCUAAGGAGGAGCCUGCGUACGAUUAGCUAGUUGGUGGGGUAACGGCCUACCAAGGCGACGAUCGUUAGCUGGUCUGAGAGGAUGAUCAGCCACAUUGGGACUGAGACACGGCCCAAACUCCUACGGGAGGCAGCAGUGGGGAAUAUUGGACAAUGGGCGCAAGCCUGAUCCAGCAAUGCCGCGUGUGUGAAGAAGGUCUUCGGAUUGUAAAGCACUUUCGACGGGGACGAUGAUGACGGUACCCGUAGAAGAAGCCCCGGCUAACUUCGUGCCAGCAGCCGCGGUAAUACGAAGGGGGCUAGCGUUGCUCGGAAUGACUGGGCGUAAAGGGGCGCGUAGGCGGUUCAGACAGUCAGAUGUGAAAUUCCCGGGGCUUAACCUGGGGGCUGCAUUUGAUACGUCUGGGCUUGAGUGAGGAAGAGGGUUGUGGAAUUCCCAGUGUAGAGGUGAAAUUCGUAGAUAUUGGGAAGAACACCGGUGGCGAAGGCGGCAACCUGGUCCUUUACUGACGCUGAGGCGCGAAAGCGUGGGGAGCAAACAGGAUUAGAUACCCUAGUAGUCC
rnacentral:rRNA from 1 species